AUUGAACGCUGGCGGCAGGCCUAACACAUGCAAGUCGAACGAGUGGCGGACGGGUGAGUAAUGUCUUGGAAACUGCCCGAUGGCGGGGGAUAACUACUGGAAACGGUAGCUAAUACCGCAUACCAUUGGAUGUGCCCCGAUGGGAUUGGCUAGUAGGGGGGGUAACGGCUCACCUAGGCGGCGAUCCCUAGCUGGGCUGAGCGGAUGACCAGCGAAACUGGAACUGGGACACGGUGCGGAGUCCUACAGAAGGCAGCAGGGGGGACGAUUGCACAAUGGGGGCAAGCCUGAUGAAGCCAUGCCGCGUGUAUGAAGAAGGCCUGCGGGGUGGAGAGUGGUUUCAGCGAGGAGACGUUACUCGCAGAAGAAGCACCGGCUAACUCCGUGCCAGCAGCCGCGGUAAUAC
rnacentral:rRNA from 1 species